rnacentral:rRNA from 1 species
GAUGAACGCUGGCGGCGUGCCUAAUACAUGCAAGUCGAGCGAACGGACGAGAAGCUUGCUUCUCUGAUGUUAGCGGCGGACGGGUGAGUAACACGUGGAUAACCUACCUAUAAGACUGGGAUAACUUCGGGAAACCGGAGCUAAUACCGGAUAAUAUUUUGAACCGCAUGGUUCAAAAGUGAAAGACGGUCUUGCUGUCACUUCUAGAUGGAUCCGCGCUGCAUUAGCUGGUUGGUAAGGUAACGGCUUACCAAGGCAACGAUGCAUAGCCGACCUGAGAGGGUGAUCGGCCACACUGGAACUGAGACACGGUCCAGACUCCUACGGGAGGCAGCAGUAGGGAAGCUUGCGCAAUGGGCGAAAGCCUGACGGAGCAACGCCGCGUGAGUGAUGAAGGUCUUCGGAUCGUAAAACUCUGUUAUUAGUGAAGAACAUAUGUGUAAGUAACUGUGCACAUCUUGACGGUACCUAAUCAGAAAGCCACGGCUAACUACGUG